GACUCUCGGCAAUGGAUAUCUUGGCUCUCGCCACGAUGAAGAAUGUAGCAGAAUGCGACACAGUGUGAAUUGUAGAAUCUCGUGAAUAAUCAAGUCUUUGAACACAAGUUGCGCUCGAAGCUUCGAUUGAGGGCAUGUCUUCUUGGGUGUCG